rnacentral:pre_miRNA from 1 species
AACAAAUUAACUUUUCGGUUUUUAUAUAUAAUAUUUAACUCUUCGUUUUAUUAAAAAAAUUUAUGAUUAAUAAUUUUAUUUUUAUUAGAUGAUAAAACAUGAAUAGUAUUUUAUGUGUGACUAUUUUUUAAAAAAUUUAUUGAAAAAGUUUCAAAUAAGACGGAUGGUCAAAUGCUCGACAUAAAAACC